rfam:Schistosoma curassoni strain Dakar, Senegal genome assembly, scaffold: SCTD_scaffold0001068
AUUCAACUUACGAGUCCCAAAUAGGACAAAACGCGCCUCCUGAAU